rnacentral:rRNA from 1 species
CAACUUUCAACAACGGAUCUCUUGGUUCUGGCAUCGAUGAAGAACGCAGCGAAAUGCGAUAAGUAGUGUGAAUUGCAGAAUUCAGUGAAUCAUCGAAUCUUUGAACGCACAUUGCGCCCCUUGGUAUUCCAUGGGGCAUGCCUGUUCG